rnacentral:rRNA from 1 species
UACGAAGGGGGCUAGCGUUGUUCGGAAUUACUGGGCGUAAAGCGUGCGCAGGCGGCUGCUCAAGUCAGGGGUGAAAGCCCAGAGCUCAACUCUGGAAUUGCCUUUGAGACUGAGUGGCUUGAGUACGGGAGAGGUGAGUGGAAUUCCCAGUGAUAGAGGUGAAAUUCGUAGAUAUUGGGAAGAACACCGGUGGCGAAGGCGGCUCACUGGCCCGUAACUGACGCUCAUGCACGACAGCGUGGGGAUCAAACAGG